AGUGAACGCUGGCGGCAGGCCUAAUACAUGCAAGUCGAACGGCAGCACAGCAGAGCUUGCUCUGUGGGUGGCGAGUGGCGGACGGGUGAGGAAUACAUGGGAAUCUGCCCAGUCGUGGGGGAUAACGUAGGGAAACUUACGCUAAUACCGCAUGCGGCCCUUCGGGGGAAAGCCGGGGACCUUCGGGCCUGGCGCGAUUGGAUGUAGCCCAGUGUCGGAUUAGCUAGUUGGCGGGGUAAUGGCCCACCAAGGCGACGAUCCGUAGCUGGUCUGAGAGGAUGAUCAGCCACACUGGAACUGAGACACGGUCCAGACUCCUACGGGAGGCAGCAGUAGGGAAUAUUGGACAAUGGGCGCAAGCCUGAUCCAGCCAUGCCGCGUGAGUGAAGAAGGCCCUCGGGUUGUAAAGCUCUUUUGUCCGGAAAGAAAAGCGCCGGGUUAAUACCCUGGUGUCCUGACGGUACCGGAAGAAUAAGCACCGGCUAACUUCGUG
rnacentral:rRNA from 1 species